rnacentral:tRNA from 1 species
AGGGCUAUAGCUCAGUGGUAGAGCACCUCGUUUACACCGAGAAUGCCUACGGUUCGAAUCCGUAUAGUCCUA